ACCACCCCCCGCCGGGCGGCCUUUCAGAGAGCCGGCGCCGCGCGCUCGGGGUCGGCCCGGUCGCGCGUCCCCGCCGGCGGUCGCAGGAGCGAGGGCGCGGGCGGAAGCGCGGGUUCCCCGUGGGCCUAGCUGCAGUGCCUGGGACGGCGGCGUGGCCUUCUUCGUUUCCGGUAGCGAGGAAGACUUUACACCUGGGGUGAGACGCUAUUUUACAAGCCAAGAUGGGUGAGCACGAAGCCUUCUCUUCAAGAAGAGAGCCCCACGGUGAACAGGUUGGUGACAAGGCGGGACAGCCUGGCCCCCUUCGCAGCUCUUGUUUUCAGGCUGAUUGGAUUUAGGAAGAGCCCCAUGUGGACUUGAAGCACCAGGCUGUCAGUUCCUUUAACACUGAGUUCCCACUUGCCUGGGGCUAAUCUUUGUGAAGACGUGGUGAGCCUGCCCAAGGGAGUACCUGUCCCCACUGAACGACCAGCGGCCUGAGGAAUCCCGGUGGGACUGGCUUUCCCAGGUGCUUCGGGCACAAUGAGAGUGGACAGGAGACCUACCUGCCAGGCCCCGGAGUGCAUGGCCACGUCUCCUCCGCAACAUUUCACGCAACUUUAACGAUGGAUUUUUAAAAAAUGUUUACUUAUUUAUUUUAGCAGAGACAGCGAGAGAGAGAAAAUGGGCAGGGGAGGGACAGAGAGAGAGAGGAAGAGAGAGAGAAUUCCAAGCAGGCUCUGCACUGUCAGCACGGAUGUGGGGCUCGAGCCCACAAACCAUGAGAUCAUGACCUGAGCUGAAAGAAAGAAUCAGAUGCUUAACUGCCUGAGCCACCCAGGCUCCCCAGUGAUUGAUGUUUUAAAAAUAAUUGUUUUCCUAUAAUAAUGCUAAGGUGCACAGGAGCAAGGCUGCAUGUAUUUUGUUCAGCACACUAUUCUAGUACAAGCAGGGUACCUGUAAAUGGGGAGUGUUCAAUAAAUCUCUGUUGACUGAAUGACAAAAACGGACUCAGUGUAUCCACUUGGACCCUCUCUCUCCUAAACCUGCACCCAUUUUUUAAACAGUGAAACAUAACUUACCUUUUCGCUCCCAACUCUGUGAAUAUCCCAACUAUUUUAUAUAAAAACUCCACUUUUCCUUGCAGCACCCAAACAUCACCUAAAUGUGUUUUCUCUCCAAUACUCUUGUACACACAGAAGGAAGCGAGGAAAUGCUUCAGGACAAUGACAAGAUAGACACACGAGGCCAUUAGUAUCUGGUUUACAACAGCUUUCUUCUGCUGUCCAUGUCUAAGCAGGGUAUGAGAAGCGUGUUCACCCCAUUCCUGGUUUGGAGCUUCUAGGACUCUCAACUGCGGUGUGUUCUCAUUGUCCUAUUCUAUUUAAAUCAAGUUUAAAAUAUGUUUCCCUUGAGGGCGAUCACGAUGAAGAAAAUACUCCCUCUCUGGAAGGAA